rnacentral:tRNA from 1 species
GCCUGGGUGGCUCAGUUGGUUAAGGGUCUGACUUCUGCUCAGCUCAUGAUCUCAUGGUUCGUGGGUUCAAGUCCCGCGUCGGGCU